rnacentral:rRNA from 1 species
GACGAACGCUGGCGGCGUGCUUAACACAUGCAAGUCGAGCGAGCGGCGGACGGGUGAGUAAUGUCUGGGAAACUGCCUGAUGGAGGGGGUUAACUACUGGAAACGGUAGCUAUUACCGCAUACCAUCAGAUGUGCCCAGAUGGGCUUAGCUAGUAGGUGGGGUAAUGGCUCACCUAGGCGACGAUCCCUAGCUGGUCUGAGGGGAUGACCAGCCACACGGCAACUGAGACACGGUCCAGACUCCUACGGGAGGCAGCAGUGGGGAAGAUGGCACAAUGGGCGAAAGCCUGAUGCAGCCAUGCCGCGUGGGUGAGGAGGGCCUUCGGGUUGUAGAGCAGUUACAGCGAGGAGGCGUUACGCGCAGAAGAAGCACCGGCUAACUCCGUGCCAGCAGCCGCGGUAAUUC